AGAAGCCACAAAGAGCCCUGAUUGGUGUUCUUUCUCUUCAUUUUGCAGAUAUGAAAAUAGUCUCCAAAGGGUUGCAAGGUUUAUCUAAAGCCACAGGAUGGAUGAAGACUGCUUAGCCCACAGCUGGAAUCUGAAUGUCUGGACUUUUAGUCUAAAAUCAUCUGCCUAGAAGAAAGGAAGGGGAAGAUAUCAGGACAUUGCUUAAGGCUUAAGUCUGAACCCAACCUCAUCACUCAAGAGACAAGAAAAAGAGACGCACUGCCAGAGCUAAAGCCUGAGAACCAGGAUUUAAGAAUCUAAGGACACUUCAAUCACUGUUGUCAUGUGGAAUGGAGAAUUUAGCCGUUGCCCCAUCUACUGUCACUGAACAUUUCUGGCGAGAGCAAGUGAGAUGU
rnacentral:lncRNA from 1 species